AUUGAACGCUGGCGGCAGGCCUAACACAUGCAAGUCGAACGAGUUGCUGACGGGUGAGUAAUGUCUGGGAAACUGCCUGCUGGAGGGGGAUAACUACUGGAAACGGUAGCUAAUACCGCAUACCAUCGGAUGUGCCCCGAUGGGAUUAGCUAGUAGGUGGGGUAAAGGCUCACCUAGGCGACGCUCCCUAGCUGGUCUGAGAGGAUGACCAGCCACACUGGAACUGAGAAACGGUCCAGACUCCUACGGGAGGCAGCAGUGGGGAAUAUUGCACAAUGGGCGCAAGCCUGAUGCAGCAAUGCUGCGUGUAUGAAGAAGGCCUUCGGGUUGGAAAGUACUUUCAGCGGGGAGGCGUUACCAGCAGAAGAAGCACCGGCUAACUCCGUGCCAGCCGCCGCGGUAAUUC
rnacentral:rRNA from 1 species